rnacentral:lncRNA from 1 species
AGGCGGCGGAGUUCUGGCUUCGCCGUGGUUACGUCGUGUGGAGUAGGUAGUCGGGGUACUGGGAGUAGGUACUCGGGGUACUGGGAGUAGGUACUCGGGGUACUGGGAGUAGGUACUCGGGGUACUGGGAGUAGGUAGUCGGGGUACUGGGAGUAGGUACUCGGGGUACUGGGAGUAGGUAGUCGGGGUACUGGGAGUAGGUAGUCGGGGUACUGGGAGUAGGUACUCGGGGUACUGGGAGUAGGUACUCGGGGUACUGGGAGUAGGUACUCGGGGUACUGGGAGUAGGUAGUCGGGGUACUGGGAGUAGGUAGUCGGGGUACUGGGAGUAGGUAGUCGGGGUACUGGGAGUAGGUACUCGGGGUACUGGGAGUAGGUAGUCGGGGUACUGGGAGUAGGUACUCGGUGUUAAAUAUAAAGACAUGGAGCGCGCGCUCCCUGAGAACAGCAGGAAAAGAAAGUCCCUGCGAGAGCCAUGCUGGACACGGGACCAGCAGUUCCUGCCGGGCCCAGAUACCAAACGGAGAUGCGGUGACUGGGGACAGCGGUCUUUGAGAGCACACGCUGAGAAGCAUUGUGGAUGCCCAAAAGACACGACCAACAUUUUAUGUGAAAUCGAUAGACUCGGAGAAAGGGAUUGGAGAAAACCCACAGCAGUAACCCACAGCAGUCUGGAAGGCAACGUAAAGGUUGCUGUGGUCAAGACCUCUUUGAGGAAGAAAGAAGAAGAAACUGCUCAAAAAAAGAAGAAGAGAAAAAUCCACCCCUCUGGGUUCAGAGGAAAAGGUCAUACAUUUUCUCAAAUCACUUUUUAAAAUUUUAAUCCAUGUCCUUAUUUUUCCAAGGAAGUAAUUGUGGAAAAGUACCACUAG